rnacentral:rRNA from 1 species
UACGUAGGGUGCGAGCGUUAAUCGGAAUUACUGGGCGUAAAGCGUGCGCAGGCGGUGAGUUAAGUCUGAUGUGAAAGCCCCGGGCUCAACCUGGGAAUGGCAUUGGAAACUGGCUCGCUGGAGUGUGGCAGAGGGGGGUAGAAUUCCACGUGUAGCAGUGAAAUGCGUAGAGAUGUGGAGGAAUACCGAUGGCGAAGGCAGCCCCCUGGGAUAACACUGACGCUCAUGCACGAAAGCGUGGGGAGCAAACAGG